UACAGGGGGGGCAAGCGUUGUUCGGAAUUACUGGGCGUAAAGGGUCAGUAGGCGGCCAACUAAGUCCGACGUGAAAUCCCAAAGCUUAGCUUUGGAACUGCGUCGGAUACUGGAUGGCUUGAAUUCGGGAGAGGGAUGCAGAAUUCCAGGUGUAGCGGUGAAAUGCGUAGAUAUCUGGAGGAAUACCGGUGGCGAAGGCGGCAUCCUGGACCGAGAUUGACGCUGAACGACGAAAGCUAGGGGAGCAAACGGG
rnacentral:rRNA from 1 species